CUACUUCCGUCAAUCAGCGAAUCAGAGCACAGAGACAUAAAUUUAAAUUGCAAAAUAUGAAAAAAUACACCUACUUUUUAAUGAAAAAGAUAUAAUACGUCACUUAAAUUCAUUCUGGGAAUACCCGAAGGUGUUAUAAUCAUAACAAACACGCAGGUGCGAUUCUUACCUGUUAAAGCUAAACAAUAACAACCAAUCAGAAAUAAGCACACGCAACGCAUGCACACCCUGGUGGCAAACGUUGUAUCCCUCAAAGUCAACAAAAAUGGCGAUUCAAGUGAAAUGUGAGUGAAAAUAAAAAUUGUUUUUCUAAUGUUAUUUUCAAUUUGCACAAGAAAAUUCAUAGUGUACGGUCAUCAGGGCACUCAGAGGAAUCGUUUGGCCACCGUGUAUGUAAAAUGCGUCAAUCAGCAAAAGUUUAAAGCGGCAAGCUCCACGUUGUUCUAAGAGAGAAAAAAGAAAGAGAGAGCGCUAGAGGUCAUUUCGUGGGAGGAACUGCAUAGAAGAAACACGAUAAAACGAAACGGAAAACAUCACGAAGUAGGUACACUUUGAAAAGAGAGGUGGUGACAAAAACACAUAGGAUACGUAUCGUGAGUAACAAAGAUGCCCAAUAAAAUUAUGUACGAUUUAAAAUUGGUUGUAAACAACGUAACGAACUGAAUCUGACAGCAUGCUGCUGUUUGUAUUGGAAAAAGAUGCAGAGUGUGCACUAAUUUUAAAGGCGUGAGGAAUGGUUUAAUGUUGAACAGUGUAGGGUUGAGGUAGAUGUUAUUAUACAGGCUGGUUCAAAUAAAAUAAAGAGUCUGACGAUCUGGCGAUGCAGCCCAAAAAACAAAUUUCAUUUCCGUCUUGCAUUUUGCAAUCCAAGUUAUCUAAUGUUGCUCUGACAGUGCUUGACAAGUUCUUGCUGCAAUGAAUUUGUUUGCCCAACGUUUCCGGAAUAGGAAAAAUCCUAGUGACAUGAUUUUAAUCGUCCUGAGAGGAAACUUAGAUAAAAUUGGCUUCUUUGCAAAAAAAGAAAACACACAGUUCGUGUAAUAGCUUACAUAAUACAGAACAAACAGCCAUCAGCCCAGAAAGAUCCAAUUCUAUCUAUCUCUUAUUUUAUGGCAUCAGCCAGACUUCAGUUUGUUGUGUUCUGUGUAAAAAUAAAUUUCGUCCCUAUCAUUUGCAGAUAGUAUACAAGAACUUGGGAAAACAAUUUGAACACAAAUUAGAGUUUUGUGUCUUUUUCAGAACACAAAUGCAAGUUGGCAGCAACUUUAUACAGAAAAUUUAAUACAGUGAUGAAGCCCAAUUUUCUGCUAUGCUCAAAAAAAUCCACUGUGGAUAAGUGAAACACAUUUCCAAUGGUUUUGGUGAACGUUUAGUAUGGCAUCCCGCAUCUUCGUAAAUUACAUAAUUGAGCCUUUCUUCUUCCAAGAAAAACAAGCAGGAGACAAGCAUUUUGAAAACAUUUUUCGCUAAAAGUAAUUUUUUGUCUCCCUGUUUGUUGUUGUAAUUUAUGAUUUCGAAAAAACUGUUUACUUACCUUUAAUGUUUCAUUCUCUCAUUCAUUUUGUAUUGGAAAAAGCUUUUCUACUUUUUCUAUCAUUCCGCGAGAACAGAAUGACACUAAUGAUCGUUCACUGCGCUGAUGUCAGAGUGACAUAAGAUGAUAGAUAACUUGGAUUCAACUUGCAAACCGUAACUGAAAUCGAAUCAAAGUCGUAAAUAACAUUUGUUUUUUAGGUUGCAUCGGGCGGUCUUCAGGCUCUUUAUUUUAUUUGAAUCCGCCUGUAUAAUAGGAAAGUCUACAAUCAGGAUGAGAGAAGUAUUUUUUAACCGAGAUUUAUAAAUAAAUAAGAUUUGAAAUGUACGAGAUUAAAGAGAAAUUUAUUGAGUUAGUUUCGUCAAUAAUUUGGACCAUGGAAGCAAGAACCAUUUAUAUUUGGUUUGCUAUAAUUUAACCGAAUAGAAUAAAUGACCGUCACCGUCGCCCGAUUCCGAUUCACCCAGGAAAGCUGCGUUAAUCCUCAAUGCAUCUUAUCAAAGGAUAACCGAUAACAGCCCCAACGCUCGGUAUUUCAAUUGACGGUUAAACCAAAAUACAUAAAUAUUUGUAAGACUCAUUAGGUAUAGAACAAACCGAUUGCUCCUCACAAUGGUUUAUGGGUCUUGUUUGUGAACAAAUUUACAAAUUUUAAAGCGGGCUUGUCACACCUUCCAUGUAAAGGUUAUCCAUUUAACGGAUCUAGAGCGCCACUGCUGUACAGGGUUCGUCAAGUUUUACACUCAGGCACUUUUCACCUCUUUGUAAUUUAUCUAAAAUUCUAAAAAAAAAUCGUAUGUGAUUUUAUUGUAUAGAAGAACAAUUUGACCAAUUUUUAAAAUGACUACUUGUAUGGUGUGUUUUUUCACUUUCGCUUAGUUAACUAUAGUCUAAUGUUAACGAUCUUUGGUCCAUAGGUCUAUUUUGAGGUAGUGCAUCGAAAUACCUAAUUAAAUUUUUGAGAAAAUGUGUCGUUGAUUUUUAAUUUCUGUUUUGAUAUUGGGGCAGCUUAUUUCCCAUGAAUUUUGGUAAAAUUGUAAAUCACUUCCACAAAAGGUCUCUAUCAGGGUGGUGGUUUUCAAAAAUUUAUUACAUUUGUCGUAAAGUUGGCACGCGAUCAUUGUUUUGGUCUGAAGGUUGAGGCAGCUGGUAAGAAUUUUUCAGGCCCGUAUUACCAUUUAUUUUAUCUGUUUACUGUAAAUGGAAUGUUAAUCUUUAAAUCUUACGGCAAGGGUUCAUGCGAAUUGUAAACGAAGAAUUCGUGCUUAGACCAAAAUAGUCAUCAAUUUGAACUUCUGAUGUAAUUUUUUAAUAAAAGCAUUUUAAACACGUUAGUGUACUUAUUCCGGUCCUGGCUUUAAAACCGCCCGAUGGGACCGUGCCGCUAGUUGUAAAAUUUCUGCAGUCAUUACUGUUAUUGGGGUAGGUAGUGGAUCCUUUUGUCGCGGAGAUUUAUUACUACUCAAUUUUGUCUCUCAUAAAUUAUAUUGAAAUUUCCGAUGAAUAAUAUCAAAAUGGCUUUUAAUCCAAUUCUAACGAUUUUUUUCAAGUCAAAUUUUUGGAGAAUAAUUUUAUUUCCUAUUUCCGAUCCUUUGAUGUAAAAAACAGCUAAUGUGAUUUUUUGGUCAAAUGGUUUUUUUCUUUUUUAUUGGACAAAUGAAUCAAGCAACCGACACCAGCAGCCAUCCCUCUACUGGGCACUAGAGAUGGGGUCGUGUCGUCUUUUAGCCAUGUCAAAUGUGACACGGCCGUGUCACGUGUAUUCGUGUUCAUAAGUUACAUUGGUGUAUGAUAUAGAAAAUCUUCGUUCGUGAUCGUGCGUGUUCAGUAAAAUUUUUCGUGUCACGAAGUUUAGACCAAUUUGCGCAUGUAAUAUUACGCGACGUCAAAAUGGCCAUUUAUUUCUGCUUCACAUUCGUCCUGUGCAUAGUGUACAUUCAUCGCAGAAUCGUUUAUUGCACAAAACUGUAGGAUGAAUGACGACCAGUUAAGUAUAUCCAAAAUAGAAAACGAUUUAAAACAGGAUCCAAAUAAUGUUAGAUACUCUUUUUAUAAACCGGAGAAUUCUAGAAGCAAAGUUUGGGAACAAUUUGAUCUUAUUAAAUUCGAAAACAAGCCUCAAAAUAUGGCGCGGUGCAUAAAGUGUCACGAAAUUUUUAAAUACAAUUCCAAAAAUGGUACAGGAAGUUUACUUAGACAUCAUUGUGUAAAAAAAAGUUUAAAUGCAGACGGAAGCAGUGCGAUGAAUGCAAUCAACAAAUAUAUGGUUAAGGAGUUACCUACUCAUGUAAAGAAGAAGGUUGCAGAGAAGCAAUUGAAAUUUAUCACAACCGACUUAAGACCACUUAGUGUUUAGCGAAGAGGCACUGGAUUUAAAUAAUACGGUCAGGAGUUAAUUAAGAUUGGUGCUACUUACGGCAAUGUAAACAUAAACGACGAUGUUUCUUCAAGAUGGCAUAUAACAAACACGACUAUAACCGAAAAAUAUGAAACAUCGAAGCAAAAUCUGGAAACUAUUCUAAAGGAGAACUUUCUCUCGUUUACAUCAGAUCUUUGGACAAACCAAUAUACCCAAAAAUCAUAUUUAACAAUAACUGUCCAUCUUAUAAAUCAGUUUAAUCUUCAAAAAUUUUGUCUUGGAACAAAAGAGUUUUUUGAGGCGAAAACAGCAGAAAAUAUUUUACUUUAUACAAAGAACAUUUUACGAGAAUUUAAUAUCGAACAAAAUUGAGCGAAGGAUUUAUUGUUACCGACAAAGGAGCAAAUAUUGUUUGUGCCUUUAAAUCCUAUAAAAGAAUAUCUUGUGGCUGUCAUAAUUUAAAUCUAGUUAUGGACGAUGUAUUGGUGUCCAAGAAUAAUGACGUGUCUGAUUUACAUUUACUUAUUUCAGAAAGUAAAAAAUUAGUAACUUUUUUCAAAAGAUCAGGUCUUAACAAUAAGCUGAGUAAAACAUUAAAGCAAGAUAUUGAAACAAGAUGGAAUUCUAUAUUUAUAUUAUUACAAAGUAUAUACACUAGUUUUGUUGAAGUCCAGAAUCUGCUUCUUGAAAGAAAUGAGUUGCAUCGUUUAAAUGGAAUCAGUUUUCCUUUGUUAAAGGAAUUAGUGCUGUUUUUAAAACUUUUUAAAGAAUGUUCUGAAUAUUUAAGCCGCGACCUAAGCCUCUUAUCCAUGACGUCGCAUUGUGGUCUUAGAAAUUAUUAAACUACUGUGAAUUGACAGCUACUGAUUCAGGUGUUUUAAAAGACUUGAAGGUGGCACUUAAAAUUUCUUUAAGACGCAGAUUUUUGGCAACGGAAAUUCAGUUUUGAAUCCAAAUUUUAAAAGUUUAAAAAUUUUAAAUGAUGUUCAAAAAGAAAAUAUUAAACAUGCAGUAAGAGUAAUGCUAGAAGGUAUUAGUCAAGAGCUGGCAAUGGAGGAUGGAAAUAUUACAAAUAGUGAGGAACAAAGAACUGAAAGCUCUGUUCAAACAAAAAUUAAUCUACUAUUUAAGGAGUUUCAAGAUGAAGGUCAAAACAAUGAAUUAAACAAUUGUAAUCCUGUCGAUAGGGAAUUAAAUAAUUAUAUCAAUAGUGUAUUUGAUAACACUGAAGACCUAUUAUCAUUCUGGAAUACUAAUCUUGAGUAUCCUGUAUUGCGUCAACUCGCCCACCGAAUGCUAUGUACACCUGCAAGUUCGGCAAGUUCAGAAAGAAUAUUUUUUACCUCUGGGAGAAUACUAGAAACGCGAAGGACAAGAAUCCAUUGAAUUUGGACAAAAUAUUGUUCCUUCAUGAAUUCGACAAAAAUUCUAAUUACAUUUUGGUGUGCUACCUAUUAGCUGUUUCAAAACUAUGUAAAGGCCAACGUCGUAUUUUCUCAAAAUUAGUUGUUAUAAAUUACUUAUGCACUUCAAAAAACUAAUAGCUAAUGUAAUUUAUAGAUCAACGAGAGAUUUCAUUAAUAACAAUUUUACAAUUUUAUCAACCUUAUUUAAAAAAAUGAUUUGGUUGGCGUUUACAUAGUUUUGAAACAACUAACAGGUUUUUUUAAUAUUUAGCUUGUUCUUUUUGUUAUUAAUAUCUGUUUGAAAAUAUAACCUUAACAUCUCAUAUUGUUUAUUUAAUUACCCAAAUAAUUUACCUAAUUAAAAUCCCAAACAACUUAUUUAUUAAAAACUCUGGAAUCUUGUGUUUUGUGACACAAACGUGUCGUGUCGUGUCACUAAAGCGGCACUCAUUGUGCGUGCGUGUUCGUGUUUUUUGAAAUUAAUGCGUGCGCUCUCGUGUUCGUGUUGUAAAAAGUCUACACGACCCCAUCUCUAAUUCUCUACUUGGCACCGUUGCCAGCAGCGGAGGCACUGCCAAAAGUUUAACUAUACACUGUUCAAUCUCUACAGGGUGUCUCACAUAAGACUUUCGAACCUGAUAUCUCAGAUAUUUGUCAACGGAUUUUUAUGAAAUU